rnacentral:rRNA from 1 species
GUGAUACGCUGCGAAAAGCCGUGGGGAGCUGCGAAUGAGCUUUGAUCCAUGGAUCUCCGAAUGGGGCAACCCACCUUAAAUGCUUGGGAAAUCGAGCGUGCCGUUGGCACGAAAGUGAGUAGGAAUUAGUGAUUAGUGAGCAGUGAAAACUACUCACUACCGACUGAUCACUACUCACUGCGCGUCAAGGACGCGCUCGGUUUCCAAGCAUUGUGAUAAGGUAUCUACACCUGAAUACAUAGGGUGUAAGAAGCGAACGCAGGGAACUGAAACAUCUAAGUACCUGCAGGAAAGGACAUCAACCGAGACUCCGCAAGUAGUGGCGAGCGAACGCGGACCAGGCCAGUGGCAAUUGUGAUUAAAGUGGAACGCUCUGGAAAGUGCGGCCGUAGUGGGUGACAGCCCCGUACGCGUAGAUAUCAUGAUUGUCCUAGAGUAGGGCGGGACACGAGAAAUCCUGUCUGAACAUGGGGAGACCACUCUCCAAGCCUAAGUACUCGUGCAUGACCGAUAGC